rnacentral:rRNA from 1 species
AGAGUUUGAUCCUGGCUCAGGAUGAACGCUAGCGGCAGGCCUAAUACAUGCAAGUCGAACGAGAUUAAGAGGCUUGCUUCUUAUGAAAGUGGCGCACGGGUGCGUAACGCGUAUGCAACCUACCUUAAUCAGGGGGAUAGCCCGAAGAAAUUCGGAUUAAGACCGCAUAAAAACACAGGAUAGCAUUAUCCAAUGUUCAAAUAUUUAUAGGAUUAAGAUGGGCAUGCGUGUCAUUAGCUAGUUGGCGGGGUAACGGCCCACCAAGGCGACGAUGACUAGGGGAUCUGAGAGGAUGACCCCCCACACUGGUACUGAGACACGGACCAGACUCCUACGGGAGGCAGCAGUAAGGAAUAUUGGUCAAUGGAGGGAACUCUGAACCAGCCAUGCCGCGUGCAGGAAGACAGCCCUCUGGGUCGUAAACUGCUUUUAUUCGGGAAUAAACCUUUCUACGUGUAGGAAGCUGAAUGUACCGAAGGAAUAAGGAUCGGCUAACUCCGUGCCAGCAGCCGCGGUAAUACGGAGGAUCCAAGCGUUAUCCGGAUUUAUUGGGUUUAAAGGGUGCGUAGGCGGCUUAUUAAGUCAGGGGUGAAAGACGGUGGCUCAACCAUCGCAGUGCCCUUGAUACUGAUGAGCUUGAAUACACUAGAGGUAGGCGGAAUGUGACAAGUAGCGGUGAAAUGCAUAGAUAUGUCACAGAACACCGAUUGCGAAGGCAGCUUACUAUGGUGUUAUUGACGCUGAGGCACGAAAGCGUGGGGAUCAAACAGGAUUAGAUACCCUGGUAGUCCACGCCCUAAACGAUGAAUACUCGCUGUUAGCGAUAUACAGUUAGCGGCUAAGCGAAAGCGUUAAGUAUUCCACCUGGGGAGUACGCCCGCAAGGGUGAAACUCAAAGGAAUUGACGGGGGCCCGCACAAGCGGAGGAGCAUGUGGUUUAAUUCGAUGAUACGCGAGGAACCUUACCCGGGCUUGAAAGUUAGUGAAUGAUCUAGAGAUAGAUCAGUGAGCAAUCACACGAAACUAGGUGCUGCAUGGCUGUCGUCAGCUCGUGCCGUGAGGUGUUGGGUUAAGUCCCGCAACGAGCGCAACCCCUAUGUUUAGUUGCCAGCACGUUAAGGUGGGGACUCUAAACAGACUGCCUGUGCAAACAGAGAGGAAGGAGGGGACGACGUCAAGUCAUCAUGGCCCUUACGUCCGGGGCUACACACGUGCUACAAUGGAUGGUACAGAGGGCAGCAAGCUGGCAACAGCAAGCGAAUCUCAAAAAGCCAUUCACAGUUCGGAUAGAGGUCUGCAACUCGACCUCUUGAAGUUGGAUUCGCUAGUAAUCGCGUAUCAGCAAUGACGCGGUGAAUACGUUCCCGGGCCUUGUACACACCGCCCGUCAAGCCAUGGAAGUUGGGGGUACCUAAAGUAUGUAACCGUAAGGAGCGUCCUAGGGUAAAACCGAUAACUGGGGCUAAGUCGUAACAAGGUAGCCGU